rnacentral:rRNA from 1 species
GCCUGCGUGAAGUUGGAAUCGCUAGUAAUCGCGGAUCAGCAUGCCGCGGUGAAUACGUUCCCGGGCCUUGUACACACCGCCCGUCACACCAUGAGAGUCGGGAACACCCGAAGUCCGUAGCCUAACAGCAAUGGGGGCGCGGCCGAAGGUGGGUUCGAUAAUUGGGGUGAAGUCGUAACAAGGUAAC